rnacentral:lncRNA from 1 species
CUGAAUACAUGAAGACACCAAACUAGGAUCCAUACUUCUGUCAUCAGCAGCAUUUUGAAAAGUAUCAAUGACAUGGCAACUUUCUUGAACCUUUGAAAACAGCAUCAUCCUUUGCAUAUAUUGGUUCAAAAUCGUGGUGUUGAAGAUCAAAUUGGAUGGUUCCAUCUUUCUCGGUGUGAAACAGCACCAUGCACAGCAGCCAAUCAUGUUUUAGGUAUGAUCAUGGAUGAACUGAUGUACCCAGAAUCUAUCAGGCGUUGUAGCAUAACUUGGCUUCUGGUUCAUCCUAGUAGAUCUUGAUUUCCAGAACAACUGAUGAGUUUAAAGCCA